AGAAUUGGGUAUGCAUGGUUGAGAUCAGUGAGGGAAGAAUCCAGCAGAGAGGAGAUUCUAUUCCAUUCUGUUGAGAUCUGUGGAUUUGCUUGGUUCCAGCAUCAACAGUAGGUUGUUUGCUGCGGAAAGUAGCUGUGGUCGAUCACCACUUCCUCCUUCUUGAUCCGGUUGAAUUGAGGACUUUGACGCGAGACGAGUAUCUCGGAGUCAGAUUGGACCUUUCUAUUUU